GAGCGGCGCACGGGUGAGUAACGCGUAUGCAACCUACCUUAUACAGGGGGAUAGCCCAGAGAAAUUUGGAUUAAUACCCCAUGGCACUAUUUUAUCGCAUGGUAAAAUAGUUAAAGAUUUAUCGGUAUAAGAUGGGCAUGCGUGACAUUAGAUUGUUGGCGGGGUAACGGCCCACCAAGUCAGCGAUGUCUAGGGGUUCUGAGAGGAUGAUCCCCCACACUGGUACUGAGACACGGACCAGACUCCUACGGGAGGCAGCAGUGAGGAAUAUUGGUCAAUGGGCGCAAGCCUGAACCAGCCAUCCCGCGUGAAGGAUGACGGCCCUAUGGGUUGUAAACUUCUUUUAUGUACCAAGAAUAUGCCUUACGAGUAGGGUAUUGACGGUAGUGCAUGAAUAAGCAUCGGCUAACUCCGUGCCAGCAGCCGCGGUAAUACGGAGGAUGCGAGCGUUAUCCGGAUUCAUUGGGUUUAAAGGGUGCGUAGGCGGUUUAUUAAGUCAGUGGUGAAAUCCUGCGGCUCAACCGUAGAACUGCCAUUGAUACUGAUAAACUUGAAUAUAGUUGAGGUAGGCGGAAUGAGUAGUGUAGCGGUGAAAUGCUUAGAUAUUACUCAGAACACCGAUUGCGAAGGCAGCUUGCUAAGCUAUUAUUGACGCUGAGGCACGAAAGCGUGGGGAUCAAACAGGAUUAGAUACCCUGGUAGUCCACGCCGUAAACGAUGUUCACUCGCUGUUUGCGAUAUACAGUAAGCGGCCAAGCGAAAGCAUUAAGUGAACCACCUGGGGAGUACGUCGGCAACGGUGAAACUCAAAGGAAUUGACGGGGGCCCGCACAAGCGGAGGAACAUGUGGUUUAAUUCGAUGAUACGCGAGGAACCUUACCUGGGCUUAAAUGUAGAGUGCAUGUGGUGGAAACACCCUUCCCUUCGGGGCUAUCUACAAGGUGCUGCAUGGUUGUCGUCAGCUCGUGCCGUGAGGUGUCGGGUCAAGUCCCAUAACGAGCGCNAACCCUUACCGUUAGUUGCCAUCAGGUCAUGCUGGGGACUCUAGCGGGACUGCCACCGUAAGGUGAGAGGAAGGUGGGGAUGACGCCAAAUCAGCACGGCCCUUAUGUCCAGGGCUACACACGUGUUACAAUGGCCGAUACAAAGGGCAGCUACACCGCGAGGUGAUGCUAAUCUCGAAAGUCGGUCUCAGUUCGGAUCGGAGUCUGCAACUCGACUCCGUGAAGUUGGAUUCGCUAGUAAUCGCGCAUCAGCCAUGGCGCGGUGAAUACGUUCCCGGGCCUUGUACACACCGCCCGUCAAACCAUGGAAGCUGGGGGGACCUGAAGUAUGCAACCGCNAGGAGCGUCCUAGGGUAAAACCGGUGACUGGGGUUAAGCCGUAACAAGGU
rnacentral:rRNA from 1 species